CCUGAUGCAGCAACGCCGCGUGAGGGACGACGGCCUUCGGGUUGUAAACCUCUUUUAGUAGGGAAGAAGCGAAAGUGACGGUACCUGCAGAAAAAGCACCGGCUAACUACGUGCCAGCAGCCGCGGUAAUACGUAGGGUGCAAGCGUUGUCCGGAAUUAUUGGGCGUAAAGAGCUCGUAGGCGGUUUGUCGCGUCUGCUGUGAAAACCCGAGGCUCAACCUCGGGCCUGCAGUGGGUACGGGCAGACUAGAGUGCGGUAGGGGAGAUUGGAAUUCCUGGUGUAGCGGUGGAAUGCGCAGAUAUCAGGAGGAACACCGAUGGCGAAGGCAGAUCUCUGGGCCGUAACUGACGCUGAGGAGCGAAAGCAUGGGGAGCGAACAGGAUUAGAUACCCUGGUAGUCCAUGCCGUAAACGUUGGGAACUAGAUGUAGGGGCCAUUCCACGGUUUCUGUGUCGCAGCUAACGCAUUAAGUUCCCCGCCUGGGGAGUACGGCCGCAAGGCUAAAACUCAAAGGAAUUGACGGGGGCCCGCACAAGCGGCGGAGCAUGCGGAUUAAUUCGAUGCAACGCGAAGAACCUUACCAAGACUUGACAUAUACGAGAACGGGCCAGAAAUGGUCAACUCUUUGGACACUCGU
rnacentral:rRNA from 1 species